UGCCUCGGGGUCCAGGCGCCUGCUGGUCCGCGGGGCGGGGGCUGUUCGGGCCGGCGGGUCCUCGGGAAGUGGGUCGGGGCCGGCGGCGGCGGCCGGGCGUGGGCCUGGGCCUGCGGGGGCCUGAGGCCAGGUUUUCUUGCUGACCCCGCAACAUGCAGAGGGUGGCGCGAGGCCACUGGAUGGAGGCCACACAGGGAGGCCGGUGCUGACCUGGCGGCCCUCUUCUGCGUCUGAGAUUAUAGCAUGAAAUUUUUAAAAAAGAGCCGCGCGAGGGGCUGGGGAGAUAGCUCAGUUGGUAGAGUGCUUGCCUCACAAGCACAAGGCCCUGGGUUCAAAUCCCCAGCACCGAAAUAAAGAGCCGCGGGGAGGUCACGCCUGUCAUUCCAGUGACUCAGGAGGCCGAGGCAGGAAGAUUCCAAGUUCAAGGCCAGCCUGGCAACUUAGACCCUGUCUCAAAAUAAAUAGAAAGGGCCGGGGAGGUUGCUCAGUGUUUGUCUCACUGCUCAGCAGACCUGAUAAAAGAAAAAUGGAGACUCCUGAUACCCUGAUGGACAUUCAUCCCUAGCAGGCUCACAUGCUGAUGUCUGCAGGCAAUCUUUGUGAAAGGUAUCCUGCCUGCUCCCCAGGGACAAGUAGGGGCCCUUCCCAGGCAGAGAUGUGCCCCAACCCGACCCGCUACAGCAGUCACUCUUGCUGCAGUCAACCUGUGGGUGAUGUCCUGGGCCUUGAGGUUUGCAAGUGAUGAAAGACCCACUGCAGCAACUAAGCUUAAGGGGAUCGGCAGGUCUAGGGGUUGCGGUCUCACGUCACCUGAGGGUCAGGGAGCAGCCAGGUCUGGAGCUGCCAAGCCCCGGGAGCUCUGGGGUAUGGUUUCAUUUCUCCCUGAUCUUCAGUUGCCUUAUUUUCCUGUUAGGUUCCGGAACUUUUCUCUGAGCUGGAGUCAGAAUGAUGCAGCCCGGGUCAGUCUUCACCUCGGGUCAUCUGUGGUGGCCUGUGGAAGAGGAUGUUUGCCCUUGGUGGUGGGGGGUAGUGGAGAGAGGAGGAACCCAUGCAGCUGAGCAGACAUUCUGAGGUCUGCUGCAGAGGGUCGGGCUGACACCACCCUCUUCCCUGCUCAAGUCCACCUGGGGAAAGGGCGCUCAGAUCCAUCUGGCAACUACAGAGCCCAAGCUGGGCUGCCGCUAGUCACAGCAGCACCUGGCAGCAUUAGAAAAGUGACUGGAAAUGAGAUUCUCCACAAGGCCUUGGAGAGCGUUAGAGGAGGGUGCCGUCUGUCACCCAGGAGAGCCCCUUAAGUCCCUCACCUCCGAUUCUUCUCCCUGACGCGGCAGCUUGUCACUCAAUUUCUGGAAGGCUGCAAGGCUGCCCCAGACUCGUUGGCCUCCCCUGUCCCUCUGCCAGCCAGGCUCCCUGUGCACUGGGCAGCUGGGUGCAAUUAAAGGCAAGGUCGCCAUGCCUCUCAGGCAGGGGGACUUAUUUGUCCCUGUCCCCUGCAUGGCUUCAGCCUUGUGAGCUCACACUGGCCCCGCUCCAGCCACCCACAGGGACAAGGCCCACAUCUCUGACGUUCUCCAGACCUGUGAGAAUCGGGCAUUCAUGCGCAUGGCCUCCAUGCUCAUAGAACCCCCAACCUGCCAAUCCUGCUCUAUCAGCCCCUCGCUUGAGGACCCUUAGGCAAAGAAGGCUGUUAGUACAUGAAAUGGCCAGAACGUUCCAGAAGAGAGGUGAAGUAGCUGGGCCAAGCUGUCCUCGUUCACCAUGAGCCCUGACGGCGGCUCAUCUGGUAACUCAGGAUGCCUGAGGAAGUACAGACCCAAGACUCCAGUCCCUCUGUGAAGUCCUGGGCCACAGACACAGCCCCUCCCUGCUGCCUUGGGCAGGGGAGGGUGUCUGUGAGGGCAGGUGCCCUGCGGCACGGGUUGGAAAGGACAGCAGGGCGCCUGCCCUGGCCUACUGGGCCCGGGAACACACCUCACUCCCAGGGGUGAGCGUGCGAGGCUGCUGCUGCUUGUUUGCUCAGGCUUUUGGGGUUUCUGGCAUGUGCAUUCUGAAGACCACAGGCCUUACCUGUGUGUGCGAGCCCACAUUUGGUCAUGAUUGAACUUGCCUUUGCAGGCUUGGAGAGAAGGGCUUCUCCAUCUGCUGCCUGGUCCUGGGGGUGGUCCACAGCCGGCCAGUGCUUCAGGGCAGUAGCAGCUGUCCUCUUCCUAACCAGGCGCAGAUUCUAUUCUCUGGAGCACAUGGGGAGCUAAACCGCAUUGACAGCGGCAGACUCAAGGAAAGGACUCCCUUCUGCAGUGGAGAGAAGCCUCUGCCUGGCCGCAAGGCUGCCCAUCAGCUCCACGUGGAAGCCCCUCCUGCGUCCAGCCGUCUCUGCUGCCGCUGAGACUGCCCCUUGACGGAGCACAACAGUGACCCUCUGGUUCUGCCCCUGGACCCAGCCAGGGGCUCCUCAGGCACUGGCCGUGGGUACCAACAACACCCGCCUUCCAGACACACGGCCAAGUCACAGGCUGGUCCACACCUGGCAUGGCCCAAGACGUGGUGUCAGGUGGCUUAGGAAGAAGAACCGCCACAUGGAAUCCCUGUCCCGAGGCCUGUUCAUACCACGAUUCAAUUCGGUGCCCCAGGGCCUCAGGACAGGGGUGAUGGUUGUGCCUUUAUGCUGAUGAGACAGGUGGGACUCCUGGGUCUGGGGUCCGGCUCAUGACACUGCUGAGCUUUGCACUUGACCCCUGCAGAAGAAAGCUGGGCAGUGGACAUGGGAAGGGAUCUGCCCAGUGCCCCUUGCCAUCCAGAGGACUCAGGACCUGGACCUCAUGGGCACCUGGGACCUCCAGAGGUCUCAAGCCUCGGGAGGGGUUAAGAGCCCUCCCCAGGAGCAGGAGGUGGGGUCCCACAGGGGCAUACAGAAGGAUCCGGCGGGUGUCUCCGAUCCUGGCUGCCCAGGGCAGGGACCCACUGCAGGAGCUGGGCUGAACCCUGUGUCCCCUGAGGGCAGACAGAGAAGCUGGGAGCGUUGGCACUCUCCUCCCUUACCCGAAGCUCAGGGCACCAACAGCUGACCGAGCUGCGCUGGUGACGUGUGAGUGAGGAUGGUGGGGCCGCAGAUGUGCACGAGCAGAGAGGGCGCAGGUCUUGCCCGCGUGGCUUCCUUCCACCCGCUCCAUGGGCUCUGUGUUGCCCACCAACAAGGGAGAGAUUCUGAGAUGUCCUGGGCUUGGUCACGAGGGCCCGAGGAUGGGGGAGGUCCAUCAGUCAACGGCUGCAGGCCAGACCACAGAAGACCACUCCACGUUCCCCAGUGUGUGGCGAGACCUGACUGGACCCAGGCAGAAGGCAGAGCCUCGGGCAUCGAGGGCAGGGCCUGCACCCAGUGGCCCUGGCGUGGUGCCUGCACCCGUCCCGGCCCCACCUCACACCCCUGAGGCAUGGACUCCUGCCCGCUCACUACCACCAAUGAAGAGUCCACGUGGAGUCGAUUUCUGCUCUAGACUUUCCCUGCAGACGUGCUCUUGGCUCUCAGGUCCAGGGAUGUUUUCCCAGCGAGUGUUGCCCUAAAGGACUCUAGGACUCUUUUAAACCUCCUGUCUCUUCAAACAACUUCUUCAUUCAAACAACUACUUCAUUCCCUACCUUACUUGUAGUUAAUGAAAAAGCAAAGCAGCUUCUCGGCACACUGUGGACGGCCCUUCUCCAGCCGUGGUCUGUCUCGUCCCUUCUUCUGGAAGACUUGUGUGCACCUACCUCUGUUCACGAGGUCCC